GGUUUUUUACUUUAUUAACUGUUUUUGAGCAACACAUACCAAUUUAAAUUUCAAUUUCUUUAAAAAUCAAAACUUUCAACAACGGAUCUCUUGGUUCUCGCAUCGAUGAAGAACGCAGCGAAUUGCGAUACGUAUCAUGACUUGCAGACGUGAAUCAUCAAUCUUUGAACGCACAUUGCGCCUUGAGGUAUUCCUCAAGGCAUGCCUGUUUGAGCGUCGGCUCCCUUCAAACCCCCGGGUUUGGUGUUGCCUUCCGAAAUAUCACAGUUGUCGCAAUACGUUACUUCAACUUUAUUCUUUCGCCCUCAAAUCAGGUAGGACUACCCGCUGAACUUAAGCAUAUCAAUAAGCGGAGGAA
rnacentral:rRNA from 1 species